rnacentral:rRNA from 1 species
AACAUGCAAGUCGAGCGGUAGCACAGAGAGCUUGCUCUCGGGUGACGAGCGGCGGACGGGUGAGUAAUGUCUGGGAAACUGCCUGAUGGAGGGGGAUAACUACUGGAAACGGUAGCUAAUACCGCAUAAUGUCGCAAGACCAAAGUGGGGGACCUUCGGGCCUCAUGCCAUCAGAUGUGCCCAGAUGGGAUUAGCUAGUAGGUGGGGUAACGGCUCACCUAGGCGACGAUCCCUAGCUGGUCUGAGAGGAUGACCAGCCACACUGGAACUGAGACACGGUCCAGACUCCUACGGGAGGCAGCAGUGGGGAAUAUUGCACAAUGGGCGCAAGCCUGAUGCAGCCAUGCCGCGUGUAUGAAGAAGGCCUUCGGGUUGUAAAGUACUUUCAGCGGGGAGGAAGGCGAUAAGGUUAAUAACCUUGUCGAUUGACGUUACCCGCAGAAGAAGCACCGGCUAACUCCGUGCCAGCAGCCGCGGUAAUACGGAGGGUGCAAGCGUUAAUCGGAAUUACUGGGCGUAAAGCGCACGCAGGCGGUCUGUCAAGUCGGAUGUGAAAUCCCCGGGCUCAACCUGGGAACUGCAUUCGAAACUGGCAGGCUAGAGUCUUGUAGAGGGGGGUAGAAUUCCAGGUGUAGCGGUGAAAUGCGUAGAGAUCUGGAGGAAUACCGGUGGCGAAGGCGGCCCCCUGGACAAAGACUGACGCUCAGGUGCGAAAGCGUGGGGAGCAAACAGGAUUAGAUACCCUGGUAGUCCACGCCGUAAACGAUGUCGAUUUGGAGGUUGUGCCCUUGAGGCGUGGCUUCCGGAGCUAACGCGUUAAAUCGACCGCCUGGGGAGUACGGCCGCAAGGUUAAAACUCAAAUGAAUUGACGGGGGCCCGCACAAGCGGUGGAGCAUGUGGUUUAAUUCGAUGCAACGCGAAGAACCUUACCUGGUCUUGACAUCCACAGAACUUAGCAGAGAUGCUUUGGUGCCUUCGGGAACUGUGAGACAGGUGCUGCAUGGCUGUCGUCAGCUCGUGUUGUGAAAUGUUGGGUUAAGUCCCGCAACGAGCGCAACCCUUAUCCUUUGUUGCCAGCGGUCCGGCCGGGAACUCAAAGGAGACUGCCAGUGAUAAACUGGAGGAAGGUGGGGAUGACGUCAAGUCAUCAUGGCCCUUACGACCAGGGCUACACACGUGCUACAAUGGCAUAUACAAAGAGAAGCGACCUCGCGAGAGCAAGCGGACCUCAUAAAGUAUGUCGUAGUCCGGAUUGGAGUCUGCAACUCGACUCCAUGAAGUCGGAAUCGCUAGUAAUCGUAGAUCAGAAUGCUACGGUGAAUACGUUCCCGGGCCUUGUACACACCGCCCGUCACACCAUGGGAGUG